rnacentral:rRNA from 1 species
ACCAAGCGGUGGAGUAUGUUGUUAAUCAGAUACACGAAGAACCUUACCAGGUCUUGACAUACCAUUGACAGGUGUAGAGAUACACUCUCCUUCGGGCAAUGGAUACAGGUGGUGCAUGGUUGUCGUCAGCUCGUGCCGUGAGGUGUUGGGUUAAGUCCCGCAACGAGCGCAACCCUCAUUGUUAGUUACUACCAUUCAGUUGAGGACUCUAAUGAGACUGCAACGACAAGUUGGAGGAAGGUGGGGAUGACGUCAAAUCAUCAUGCCCUUUAUGACCUGGGCUACAAACGUACUACAAUGGCCAAUACAAAGAGAUGCGAAGCGGUGACGUGAAGCGAACCUCAGAAAGUUGGUCUCAGUUCAGAUUGAAGUCUGCAACUCGACUUCAUGAAGGCGGAAUCGCUAGUAAUCGCGGGUCAGCAGACCGCGGUGAAUACGUUCCCGGGUUUU